rnacentral:sRNA from 12 species
CCUCACAAGGCGGAACUCAACAGGCUACACGCACAUUCAUAGCGCUCUUAUAGAGCCAUAAAAUACAGAAGCAAUAGCAAGUAACGAUGAACGACCUUGGGGAAGUUGGGAGCCAAACCUAACGCUUCAGUGGAACUCCGAACAUUGUUCGGAAGCAUAGGGAAUAAACUCCUUUGCUUAAUGAAAGUGCUACAACUG